rnacentral:rRNA from 1 species
CCCGUAGUUGACGACGUGUGUUCAGUGAAAUCGAGUAGGGCGGGACACGUGAUAUCCUGUCUGAAUAUGGGGGGACCAUCCUCCAAGGCUAAAUACUACUGACUGACCGAUAGUGAACCAGUACCGUGAGGGAAAGGCGAAAAGAACCCCUGUGAGGGGAGUGAAAUAGAACCUGAAACCGUGUACGUACAAGCAGUAGGAGCAGGCUUUGUCCUGUGACUGCGUACCUUUUGUAUAAUGGGUCAGCGACUUAUAUUCAGUGGCAAGGUUAACCAUCUAGGGGAGCCGUAGGGAAACCGAGUCUUAACUGGGCGUUCAGUCUCUGGAUAUAGACCCGAAACCAGGUGAUCUAGCCAUGGGCAGGUUGAAGGUUGAGUAACAUCAACUGGAGGACCGAACCGACUAAUGUUGAAAAAUUAGCGGAUGACUUGUGGCUAGGGGUGAAAGGCCAAUCAAACCUGGAGAUAGCUGGUUCUCCCCGAAAGCUAUUUAGGUAGCGCCUCGGACGAAUACUACUGGGGGUAGAGCACUGUUAAGGCUAGGGGGUCAUCCCGACUUACCAACCCUUUGCAAACUCCGAAUACCAGUAAGUACUAUCCGGGAGACACACGGCGGGUGCUAACGUCCGUCGUGGAGAGGGAAACAACCCAGACCGCCAGCUAAGGUCCCAAAUUACUACUAAGUGGGAAACGAUGUGGGAAGGCUCAGACAGCCAGGAUGUUGGCUUAGAAGCAGCCAUCAUUUAAAGAAAGCGUAAUAGCUCACUGGUCGAGUCGGCCUGCGCGGAAGAUGUAACGGGGCUAAGUAGUAAACCGAAGCUGCGGCAAUAUACUUUUGUAUAUUGGGUAGGGGAGCGUUCUGUAAGCGGUUGAAGGUGUGUGGUAACGCAUGCUGGACGUAUCAGAAGUGCGAAUGCUGACAUGAGUAACGAUAAAGGGGGUGAAAAACCUCCUCGCCGGAAGACCAAGGGUUCCUGUCCAACGUUAAUCGGGGCAGGGUAAGUCGACCCCUAAGGCGAGGCCGAAAGGCGUAGUCGAUGGGAAACGGGUUAAUAUUCCCGUACUUCUUACAAUUGCGAUGGGGGGACGGAGAAGGCUAGGUGGGCCUGGCGACGGUUGUCCAGGUUCAAGUGCGUAGGCUUAAGAGUUAGGUAAAUCCGGCUCUUUUUAAGGCUGAGACACGACGUCGAGCACCUACGGGUGUGAAGUCAUUGAUGCCAUGCUUCCAGGAAAAGCCUCUAAGCUUCAGAUUGUAAGGAAUCGUACCCCAAACCGACACAGGUGGUCGGGUAGAGAAUACCAAGGCGCUUGAGAGAACUCGGGUGAAGGAACUAGGCAAAAUGGUACCGUAACUUCG